AUGCAGCAGCCGCUGCAGCCACAGGCACCCCCGCCGCUCAGCACCGGGCCAGCGAUGACCGCGUCGGCGGGCGUUCUGAUCCAGCAGGUCCGGUUCCCACCCUCACCAUCACCGCUUCCGGCCUGGUUGGCCGGGUCGACGCCGCAGCCGGUCUACACUAUGGCCGGGGAACAGCCGGCGCCCACCCUGCAGUACGGCGGGCCCUCCGGCUCCGCGGGUGCCUACGUGGGCCACGAUGGACCGCCGUUUCACGGGGGACCCCCGGUGCCCACCGACCCGGCGUCAUCCUCUUCGCUGCCCCGUCCCGCCGAGUUGUACGCCCAUGGCGGUCAGGCCCCGACCCCGCCGCGCUUCGCCAAGCUCGACUUCGCCACCUACAACGGCACCGAGGACCCCCUCAACUGGCUCAACCAGUGCGAGCAGUUCUUCCGGUGGCAACGGAUGCUCGCGUCGGACAGCACCUGGCUCGCCUCUUAUCACCUCCGUGGUGCCGCCCAGACGUGGUACUACGCCCUCGAGCAGGACGAGGGCAGCAUGCCCCCAUGGGAGCGUCUUCGCGAGCUCUGCCUCCUUCGCUUCGGACCACCAAUACGCGGGAGCCGGCUGCCGGCUCCCCUUCACCUCUACGGUGCAGGACUUCACCGACCGCUUUCAGGCCCUGGCGUGCCAUGCGCCCGGCGUGACGGCUCGCCAGCGGUCCGAACUCUUCGUCGGCGGUCUGCCAGAUCAUAUUCGCGUGGGCGUGGAGCUGCAGGGACCCCAGGACCUCUAGACGGCCAUGUACUACGCAUGCGCGUUCGAGCGCCGCGCGGUGGCCAUCCAGCAGGCAUCACCGUCUCGGGCCACUGGGCCGACACCCUGGUCGGAUGUUCCCGUGCAGGGUCGGCUUGCUCAGGCUUCCGCGGCACCCCUCGCCGCGGCCGCGGCGCGCCCGUUCCGCCGGUUCACCUCGGCCGAGCUGCUCGAGCGUCGCCGCCAAGGGUUGUGCUUCAACUGCGACGAGCCCUACGUGCCCGGCCAUGUCUGCCCACGCCUCUUCUACCUGGAGGUUGCGGACUACAUGGAGGAGGACGCCGCCGCCUCCGGGCUUGGCGACCUGCACGCCCCAGCUGCCGCGGAGGUGUUUGGCGACGGGUGAUCACCUCGAGGAGUUCCGCAAGCGCUUCCCCGCCUUCCAGCUCGAGGAUGAGCUGUUUGUGCAGGCAGGGAGAAAUGUUAUGA
rnacentral:rRNA from 1 species